rnacentral:rRNA from 1 species
AUUGAACGCUGGCGGCAGGCCUAACACAUGCAAGUCGAACGAGUGGCGGACGGGUGAGUAAUGUCUGGGAAACUGCCCGAUGGAGGGGGAUAACUACUGGAAACGGUAGCUAAUACCGCAUACCAUCGGAUGUUCCCAGAUGGGAGUGGCUAGUAGGUGGGGUAAUGGCUCACCAAGGCGACUGUCCCUAGCUGGUCUGAGAGGAUGACGCGCCCCACUGGAACUGAGAAACGGUCCAGACUCCUACGGGAGGCAGCAGUGGGGAAUAUUGCACAAUGGGUGCAAUCCUGAUGCAGCCAUGCCGCGUGUAUGAAGAAGGCUGUCGGGUUGUAAAGUACUUUCAGCGAGGAGGCGUUACUCGCAGAAGAAGCAACGGCUAACUCCGUGCCAGCAGCCGCGGUAAUAC